rnacentral:rRNA from 1 species
UACGAAGGGGGCGAGCGUUGUUCGGAUUCAUUGGGCGUAAAGGGUGCGUAGGCGGCGCGGUAAGUCGGGUGUGAAAUCUCGGAGCUUAACUCCGAAACUGCAUUCGAUACUGCCGUGCUUGAGGACUGGAGAGGAGACUGGAAUUUACGGUGUAGCGGUGAAAUGCGUAGAUAUCGUAAGGAAGACCAGUGGCGAAGGCGGGUCUCUGGACAGUUCCUGACACUGAGACACGAAGGCCAGGGGAGCAAACGGG